rnacentral:rRNA from 1 species
GAUGAACGCUGGCGGCGUGCCUAAUACAUGCAAGUCGAGCGAACGGACGAGAAGCUUGCUUCUCUGAUGUUAGCGGCGGACGGGUGAGUAACACGUGGAUAACCUACCUAUAAGACUGGGAUAACUUCGGGAAACCGGAGCUAAUACCGGAUAAUAUUUUGAACCGCAUGGUUCAAAAGUGAAAGACGGUCUUGCUGUCACUUAUAGAUGGAUCCGCGCUGCAUUAGCUAGUUGGUAAGGUAACGGCUUACCAAGGCAACGAUGCAUAGCCGACCUGAGAGGGUGAUCGGCCACACUGGAACUGAGACACGGUCCAGACUCCUACGGGAGGCAGCAGUAGGGAAUCUUCCGCAAUGGGCGAAAGCCUGACGGAGCAACGCCGCGUGAGUGAUGAAGGUCUUCGGAUCGUAAAACUCUGUUAUUAGGGAAGAACAUAUGUGUAAGUAACUGUGCACAUCUUGACGGUACCUAAUCAGAAAGCCACGGCUAACUACGUGCCAGCAGCCGCGGUAAUACGUAGGUGGCAAGCGUUAUCCGGAAUUAUUGGGCGUAAAGCGCGCGUAGGCGGUUUUUUAAGUCUGAUGUGAAAGCCCACGGCUCAACCGUGGAGGGUCAUUGGAAACUGGAAAACUUGAGUGCAGAAGAGGAAAGUGGAAUUCCAUGUGUAGCGGUGAAAUGCGCAGAGAUAUGGAGGAACACCAGUGGCGAAGGCGACUUUCUGGUCUGUAACUGACGCUGAUGUGCGAAAGCGUGGGGAUCAAACAGGAUUAGAUACCCUGGUAGUCCACGCCGUAAACGAUGUGUGCUAAGUGUUAGGGGGUUUCCGCCCCUUAGUGCUGCAGCUAACGCAUUAAGCACUCCGCCUGGGGAGUACGACCGCAAGGUUGAAACUCAAAGGAAUUGACGGGGACCCGCACAAGCGGUGGAGCAUGUGGUUUAAUUCGAAGCAACGCGAAGAACCUUACCAAAUCUUGACAUCCUUUGACAACUCUAGAGAUAGAGCUUUCCCCUUCGGGGGACAAAGUGACAGGUGGUGCAUGGUUGUCGUCAGCUCGUGUCGUGAGAUGUUGGGUUAAGUCCCGCAACGAGCGCAACCCUUAAGCUUAGUUGCCAUCAUUAAGUUGGGCACUCUAAGUUGACUGCCGGUGACAAACCGGAGGAAGGUGGGGAUGACGUCAAAUCAUCAUGCCCCUUAUGAUUUGGGCUACACACGUGCUACAAUGGACAAUACAAAGGGCAGCGAAACCGUGAGGUCAAGCAAAUCCCAUAAAGUUGUUCUCAGUUCGGAUUGUAGUCUGCAACUCGACUACAUGAAGCUGGAAUCGCUAGUAAUCGUAGAUCAGCAUGCUACGGUGAAUACGUUCCCGGGUCU